CAGUAGCCACGGUAAUGCGUAGGUGGCAAGCGUUGUCCGGAAUUAUUGGGCGUAAAGGGCUCGCAGGCGGUUUCUUAAGUCUGAUGUGAAAGCCCCCGGCUCAACCGGGGAGGGUCAUUGGAAACUGGGAAACUUGAGUGCAGAAGAGGAGAGUGGAAUUCCACGUGUAGCGGUGAAAUGCGUAGAGAUGUGGAGGAACACCAGUGGCGAAGGCGACUCUCUGGUCUGUAACUGACGCUGAGGAGCGAAAGCGUGGGGAGCGAACAGGAUUAGAUACCCGUGUAGUCCCUGUCUCUUAUAC
rnacentral:rRNA from 1 species